rnacentral:rRNA from 1 species
UGCGUAGGUGGUGGGGUAAGUCUCGUGUGAAAGCUCGCAGCUUAACUGCGAAAAGUCACGGGAUACUAUUCUGCUAGAGGCUUGGAGGGGGGGACUGGAAUACUUGGUGUAGCAGUGAAAUGCGUAGAUAUCAAGUGGAACACCAGUGGCGAAGGCGAGUCCCUGGACAAGACCUGACACUGAGGCACGAAAAGCCAGGGGAAGGCAAAACA